UCUUGUUUACAGCCCGUGAGGAUGUUGGCGAGAGAUCUAUGUCGCCGUGUAUCUUUCCGUACCUUCCAUGCUCCAGGGGGUGUUGCGGUCGUCGACUAGAAAAUGAUGGCGGUAAUGAUGUCUCAUCAAUGGAAUCACAGCCUUAACUUAGUAACAAAACGAUUAGCUGGCAAAAUAAGGGCUGUUGAAGUUAUUCAAUAAACGCGGGUAAUGAGUAAAGGUGGGUAAUUAAAUGCGUAAAUGUGUACAAUUAACAAAAGAAACUUGUUGUAACAAGAGGAUAAAUAAAAGCUGGAUAAUUGAAAAAAUGUAA